ensembl:Mt_tRNA
GGUAGAAUGGCUGAUAAAGCAUUAGGCUGUAAAUCUAAAGAUAGGGGUGAAGCCCCCUUUUUACCA